UGGGGAAUAUUGCACAAUGGGGGAAACCCUGAUGCAGCGACGCCGCGUGAGCGAAGAAGGCCUUCGGGUCGUAAAGCUCUUUUAUGAGGGAAGAUAAUGACGGUACCUCAAGAAAAAGCCCCAGCUAACUACGUGCCAGCAGCCGCGGUAAUACGUAGGGGGCUAGCGUUGUCCGGAAUCACUGGGCGUAAAGGGUUCGCAGGCGGAAUAACAAGUCAGAUGUGAAAGGCAUGGGCUCAACCCAUGUAAGCAUUUGAAACUGUAAUUCUUGAGAAGUGGAGAGGUAAGUGGAAUUCCUAGUGUAGCGGUGAAAUGCGUAGAUAUUAGGAGGAAUACCUGUGGCGAAGGCGACUUACUGGACACAAAUCUGCCGCUGAGGAUCGAAAGCGUGGGUAGCAAACAGG
rnacentral:rRNA from 1 species